rnacentral:rRNA from 1 species
UACAGAGGGUGCAAGCGUUAAUCGGAAUUACUGGGCGUAAAGCGUGUGUAGACGGUUAUUUAAGUCAGGUGUGAAAGCCCCGGGCUCAACCUGGGAAUUGCAUUUGAGACUGAAUAGCUAGGGUGCGGAAGAGGGAAGCGGAAUUCCCGGUGUAGCGGUGAAAUGCGUAGAUAUCAGGAGGAACACCCAUAGCGAAGGCAGCUUGCUGGGACGUAACUGACGCUAAGGCGCGAAAGCGUGGGGAGCGAACAGG